UGGCUCAGAGGUUAAAGCGUCUGCCUCCAAUGCGGGAGACCCAGGUUCAAUUCCUGG
rnacentral:tRNA from 1 species